rnacentral:ncRNA from 1 species
AUAAUGAUACUCCCAUACAGCCACAGUCCGAACGUGAUAAAAACGUCGCAGGCAAUGGGUAUGGCUACAUGAAAACCAUGUAGAGGUGAAAAUCCUGUGA